rnacentral:rRNA from 1 species
GGAACAGCCCAGACCAUCAGUUAAGGUCCCUAAAUGUAUGCUAAGUGGAAAAGGAUGUGGAGUUGCAUAGACAACUAGGAUGUUGGCUCAGAAGCAGCCACCAUUUAAAGAGUGCGUAAUAGCUCACUAGUCGAGUGAUCCUGCGCCGAAAAUGUACCGGGGCUAAGCAUACUACCGAAACCAUGGAUGCGACCAUUAGGUCGCGUGAUAGGAGAGCGUUCUAAGGGCGGUGAAGCAAGAUCGUGAGGACUUGUGGAGCGCUUAGAAGUGAGAAUGCCGGUAUGAGUAGCGAAAGAUAGGUGAGAAUCCUAUCCACCGAAUGACUAAGGUUUCCUGGGGAAGGCUCGUCCUCCCAGGGUUAGUCGGGACCUAAGUCGAGGCCGAGAGGCGUAGACGAUGGAUAACAGGUUGAGAUUCCUGUACUAGUUAAGUGCGUUU